UGCACUCGCAGCUUACUCACAGACUUGCUCUGAGCAGGAGCAGCAGAGCAACAACCAAGCCUCGCUACCCAAUUAAUAGUGUCUCCUUUCUUCUUCAGUUCUUCACCAUCAUUUUUCGCCCAAGUUUCUCUUCUUCUUCGAUCAUCCUCCUCUAAUUUGUUCUUCGAGAGAAAUCAAGACGCCCAUGGGAGCAAUGCCGAAACUAGUGAUACGUCUGAAGGAAGCCCGACUAAAUUCAGAGAUUCACGGUAGAGGCGUUGUCUGUGUGAUCUUCUACUGGUCUGAAGCCUGAACAUGCCAUUCUGUGUGUGGUUUAGCAUGUGCUUAGAAGAGGUCAAAAUAGGAUAGCAGAUCAUUUCGCUAAUUGCAGAGUAGCUGCAGGUUGCAUAGGGGCCCUCCGUGUAUCGAGGACCUGUUGCCACUAGAUUGUAAAUCCUAGAAUAAGUUGCUAUUCUCCCCGCAAAAGAAGAAAGAAACUGUACAAGGCCAUUC